GACGAACGCUGGCGGCGUGCUUAACACAUGCAAGUCGAACGGAAAGGCCCUGCUUUUGUGGGGUGCUCGAGUGGCGAACGGGUGAGUAACACGUGAGUAACCUGCCCUUGACUUUGGGAUAACUUCAGGAAACUGGGGCUAAUACCGGAUAGGAGCUCCUGCUGCAUGGUGGGGGUUGGAAAGUUUCGGCGGUUGGGGAUGGACUCGCGGCUUAUCAGCUUGUUGGUGGGGUAGUGGCUUACCAAGGCUUUGACGGGUAGCCGGCCUGAGAGGGUGACCGGGCAGAGUGGGGCGAUGAUACGGCAGAGGCGGAUACGGGAGGCAGCAGCGGGGAAUAGUGCAAAAUGGUCGGAGGGCUGAUGGAGGAACGCGGCGUGCGGGAUGACGGCCUUGGGGUAGUAAACCGAUUUCGCCUGUGAAGCAGCGUGAGAGACGGGAAGGGGUAAAGAAGAACCCGCUAGGUACGUG
rnacentral:rRNA from 1 species